AUAGUACAGUGAAACACUCUUAUAAUGACGUGCUAGGUACAGAUGGCUAUGCUUUGUUAUAAAUGUGAUACAUUAUAUCUGUUAACUUCAUAUUAUCUUUUAAAACCCACAGGGAAUGUCAAUUCAUUAUUAGCGUGUUUGCUAUAAGCAUAUUUACUGUAGCCCACUAAAAUUUUAAUUGUAAAAUUGCUUCCUUGUGUAUAAGACUAAGUACUGAAUUCAAGAAAAUAUCAUAGAUCAGUCACUGUUAAACAUUAUCUCUCCUUUGGUAUUGAUUUUUACUCAAACUCUUAGUAUGUAAAUCUGUAUCCAAACAUAAUUAAACAGUCUGAAAGUCGGCUAGAAGAUGAACUUCUUCCCUUUUGCAUUGUUUUAGAACUCUGCAAAAAAAAAUUCUGCCAAAAUUAUUGACAUUCCUAUGAGCAAGCAAAAUGCCAAAUUUUAUACCCACUAAAGAAACCCGCUAUACAGUAUUUGACUGAGAUAGAAAUCCUUUUUUGUUGUUAAUAUAUUUGUUGUUGUUAUCUGAAAGGUCCUGCUCUUGAUGUGGUUGUAUCAUUUUUGAUCAUGUGUGUUACUGAAAUCAGUGAUUUUCCUCUCUCACUGAAUACCAUUGCAGUUUACCACAAUUACAAAAAAUAUUGACCAAAAGUGAUACACCCACAAGUCACAAAUGCUUUACAAAAACAAAAAAAAAAAUCAUAUACAUGUUAUGUUUUUGAGGGUUUACUAUAUUUUAAUGUUUGGAGGGUAUGAUCUGAUUUUAUUAUACAUGAAGUUUAUUUUUAAUGUAUUGUCACAAAUAAGUUUAUAUACGAUACAAAUGAUUAUUUAAUCUGAUUCCUCUAUACAGGUCAUUACAUUUUUUAAGGCUAUUCUUUUUUACUGAGCCCACCUAAAAAAUACGAAAUCCUGUUUGUGAUUCCUGUGAUGAAAUAAAUUUUGUGCAAUUUC